rnacentral:rRNA from 1 species
AUACGGAGGGUGCAAGCGUUAAUCGGAAUUACUGGGCGUAAAGGGCGCGUAGGUGGUUAGGUCAGUCGGAUGUGAAAGCCCCGGGCUCAACCUGGGAAUGCCAUUCGAUACUGCCAAACUAGAGUGUGGUAGAGGGAAGCGGAAUUCCGGGUGUAGCGGUGAAAUGCGUAGAUAUCCGGAGGAACACCAGUGGCGAAGGCGGCUUCCUGGAUCAACACUGACACUGAGGCGCGAAAGCGUGGGGAGCAAACAGGAUUAGAAACCCGAGUAGUCC